rnacentral:rRNA from 1 species
AGAGUUUGAUCAUGGCUCAGGACGAACGCUGGCGGCGUGCUUAACACAUGCAAGUCGAACGGUAAGGCCCCAGCUUGCUGGGGUACACGAGUGGCGAACGGGUGAGUAACACGUGGGUGACCUGCCCCGCACUUCGGGAUAAGCCUGGGAAACUGGGUCUAAUACCGGAUAGGACCGCACCGUGAGGGUGUGGUGGAAAGUUUUUCGGUGUGGGAUGGGCCCGCGGCCUAUCAGCUUGUUGGUGGGGUAAUGGCCUACCAAGGCGGCGACGGGUAGCCGGCCUGAGAGGGUGGACGGCCACAUUGGGACUGAGACACGGCCCAGACUCCUACGGGAGGCAGCAGUGGGGAAUAUUGCACAAUGGGCGGAAGCCUGAUGCAGCGACGCCGCGUGGGGGAUGACGGCCUUCGGGUUGUAAACUCCUUUCACCAUCGACGAAGGUUUUCUGACGGUAGAUGGAGAAGAAGCACCGGCUAACUACGUGCCAGCAGCCGCGGCAAUACGUAGGGUGCGAGCGUUGUCCGGAAUUACUGGGCGUAAAGAGCUCGUAGGUGGUUUGUCGCGUCGUCUGUGAAAUUCCGGGGCUUAACUCCGGGCGUGCAGGCGAUACGGGCAUAACUUGAGUACUGUAGGGGAGACUGGAAUUCCUGGUGUAGCGGUGAAAUGCGCAGAUAUCAGGAGGAACACCGGUGGCGAAGGCGGGUCUCUGGGCAGUAACUGACGCUGAGGAGCGAAAGCAUGGGUAGCGAACAGGAUUAGAUACCCUGGUAGUCCAUGCCGUAAACGGUGGGCGCUAGGUGUAGGGGUCUUCCACGACUUCUGUGCCGUAGCUAACGCAUUAAGCGCCCCGCCUGGGGAGUACGGCCGCAAGGCUAAAACUCAAAGGAAUUGACGG